GGAUGCGAUCAUACCAGCACUAAAGCACCGGAUCCCAUCAGAACUCCGAAGUUAAGCAUGCUUGGGCGAGAGUAGUAAUAGGAUGGGUGACCUCAUGGGAAGUCCUCGUGUUGCAUUCC
rnacentral:rRNA from 1 species